AGUGAACACCAAUUCACCAUAAAGGUGCCCAAACUCAUUGGAACUCAUAAGCUAAGGAGCGUCGAGGCUGGUUAGUACUUGGAUGGGUGACCACCAGGGCCUGGACAUGAUCGUGC
rnacentral:rRNA from 1 species